rnacentral:rRNA from 1 species
UCCAGUUUAUCCUGCUGGAGAUUGCGGCUAUUCGACUUGGUUCAAAGCAUGCAAGUCUGACGAUGAGUCGGCGUACUGCUCAGUAACACUUAGUUAAUCUGCCCUUAGGUCGAAGAUAAUCUCGGGAAACUGAGAAUAAUAUUCGAUAGAAGUUUGUUUCUGGAAAGAGCUUACUUCGAAAGGCAACGCCUAAGGAUGAGACUGAGGCCUAUUAGCUUGUUGGCGGGGUAAAUGCCCACCAAGGCUAUGAUAGGUAAGGGUUCUUGACGGAAGAGCCCUGAGAGGGAAUCUGAGACACUAUUCCCAGCCCUACGGGGUGCAGCAGCUGCGAAUUUUCUCCAAUGCGCGAAAGCGUGAGAGAGCGAGUCGAAGUGUUUAUCUUUUUUGAUAAACUUUUGCCAACUUUAAAAAAGUUGGAGAAUAAGGACUGGGCAAGACCGGUGCCAGCCGCCGCGGUAAUCCCGGCAGUCCAAGUCGCAAUCAACUUUAUUAGGUCUAAAACAUCCGUAGCUUGAUAAGCAAGUUUCUUGUGAAAUUUAACAUCUUAAGUGUUAAGCGAGCAAGAAAUACUACUUAUCUAGAGAUCGGAAGAUGUAAGAAGUAUGUUUAGGGUAGUGGUUAAAUACGUUAAUCCUAAACAGACUAACAAUUGGCGAAGGCAUCUUACAAGAACGAAUCUGACAGUGAGGGAUGAAGGCUAGGGGCGCAAAAGGGAUUAGAUACCCCUGUAGUCCUAGCAGUAAACACUGCUCACUAAACAUUGGGAUCUCUUCGGGAGUUUCCAGUGCUGAAGCGAAGGCGAAGAGUGAGCUACCUGGGAAGUACAGUCGCAAGAUCGAAACUUAAAGGAAUUGGCGGGGAGAUACUACAACGAGUGACGCGUGCGGUUCAAUCAGAUUCUACACCGUGAACCUCACCAGGAGCGACAGCAGAAUGAAGGACAGUCUGAAGGGCUUUCCUGACACGCUGAGCGGAGUUACAUAGCCGACUUCAGCCUGUGUCGUGAGAUGACCUGUUAAAUCAGGUAACAGGCGAGACCCAUGUCAACAAUUACUACCGAAAGGAGAACAUUGUUGAGACUGCUUUGGUAACAAAGAGGAAGGUAUGGGCUACGUCAGGUGGCAUGUCCCUAAUCCCCUGGGCUACACGCGCGCGUCAAUGGUACACACAGUGGGAUGCAACUUCGAAAGAAGAAGCUAAUCUCUAAAGUGUAUCUCAGUUCAGAUUGAGGGUUGCAACUCACCCUCAUGACGCUGGAAUUCGUAGUAAUCGUUCGUUAGCAACGAACGGUGAAUAAGUCCCUGUCUCUUGCACACACCGCCCGUCAAGCCAACCGAGUUGCGCUAAGAAGAAGCUCUUUUGAGAAGAUUCUUUGUGCGAUAAGGUAGGUUAAGUCGUCACAAGGUAUCU